rnacentral:rRNA from 1 species
GACGGAGGGUGCAAGCGUUGCUCGGAAUCACUGGGCGUAAAGGGUGCGUAGGCGGUCGUGCAAGUCGGAUGUGAAAUCUCAGGGCUCAACCCUGAAACUGCAUUCGAUACUGCGCGGCUAGAGUGCUGGAGGGGAGACUGGAAUUUACGGUGUAGCAGUGAAAUGCGUAGAUAUCGUAAGGAAGACCAGUGGCGAAGGCGAGUCUCUGGACAGCAACUGACGCUGAGGCACGAAGGCCAGGGGAGCAAACGGG